UCAGCGCUGGCGGCGUGCCUAACACAUGCAAGUCGAACGAGAAAGUCCCGCAAGGGACAAGUAGAGUGGCGAACGGGUGAGUAACACGUGGAUAACCUGCCGUCGAGUGGGGAAUAACCUUCCGAAAGGAGGGCUAAUACCGCAUAACACCCGAGGACAUCAGUCCCCGGGUUGAAAGGAGUGAUUCGCUCGAUGAGGGGUCCGCGCCUGAUUAGCUUGUUGGUGGGGUAAUGGCUCACCAAGGCGACAAUCAGUAGCCGUCCUGAGAGGGAGCACGGCCACACUGGAACUGAGACACGGUCCAGACUCCUACGGGAGGCAGCAGUGAGGAAUUUUUGGCAAUGGGCGAAAGCCUGACCAAGCAACGCCGCGUGGGUGAUGAAGUAUUUUGGUACGUAAAACCCUUUCGGCAGGGACGAAUUCUUGACGGUACCUGCGGAAGAAGCCCCGGCUAACUCCGUGCCAGCAGCCGCGGUAAUACGGGGGGGGCAAGCGUUGUUCGGAAUUACUGGGCGUAAAGGGCGCGUAGCGGUUGGAUAAGUCAGCUGUGAAAACCUCA
rnacentral:rRNA from 1 species